rnacentral:rRNA from 1 species
AUGCAAGUCGAACGGCAGCACGGGGGGCUUGCUCCCUGGUGGCGAGUGGCGGACGGGUGAGUAACGCGUAGGAAUCUAUCCUGUAGUGGGGGACAACCCGGGGAAACCCGGGCUAAUACCGCAUACGAUUUGAGGAUGAAAGCGGGUCUUUCGGGGCACGCGCUGUGGGGUGAGCCUGCGUCCGAUUAGCUAGUUGGUGGGGUAAAGGCCUACCAAGGCGACGAUCGGUAGCUGUUCUGAGAGGAUGAUCAGCCACACUGGGACUGAGACACGGCCCAGACUCCUACGGGAGGCAGCAGUGGGGAAUAUUGGACAAUGGGGGCAACCCUGAUCCAGCAAUGCCGCGUGUGUGAAGAAGGCCUGCGGGUUGUAAAGCACUUUCAGUGGGGAAGAGGGCGUGCGUGUAACGAGCGCAUGUUGACGUUACCCACAGAAGAAGCACCGGCUAACUCCGUGCCAGCAGCCGCGGUAAUACGGAGGGUGCGAGCGUUAAUCGGAAUUACUGGGCGU